UUUUCAUCAGACAAUCUGUGUGAGCACUGCAAAGUACGCUUCUUUAAGGUAAGGAGGUGAUCCAACCGCAGGUUCCCCUACGGUUACCUUGUUACGACUUCACCCCAGUCAUGAAUCACAAAGUGGUAAGCGCCCUCCCGAAGGUUAAGCUACCUACUUCUUUUGCAACCCACUCCCAUGGUGUGACGGGCGGUGUGUACAAGGCCCGGGAACGUAUUCACCGUGGCAUUCUGAUCCACGAUUACUAGCGAUUCCGACUUCAUGGAGUCGAGUUGCAGACUCCAAUCCGGACUACGACGCACUUUAUGAGGUCCGCUUGCUCUCGCGAGGUCGCUUCUCUUUGUAUGCGCCAUUGUAGCACGUGUGUAGCCCUGGUCGUAAGGGCCAUGAUGACUUGACGUCAUCCCCACCUUCCUCCAGUUUAUCACUGGCAGUCUCCUUUGAGUUCCCGGCCGGACCGCUGGCAACAAAGGAUAAGGGUUGCGCUCGUUGCGGGACUUAACCCAACAUUUCACAACACGAGCUGACGACAGCCAUGCAGCACCUGUCUCACGGUUCCCGAAGGCACAUUCUCAUCUCUGAAAACUUCCGUGGAUGUCAAGACCAGGUAAGGUUCUUCGCGUUGCAUCGAAUUAAACCACAUGCUCCACCGCUUGUGCGGGCCCCCGUCAAUUCAUUUGAGUUUUAACCUUGCGGCCGUACUCCCCAGGCGGUCUACUUAACGCGUUAGCUCCGGAAGCCACGCCUCAAGGGCACAACCUCCAAGUAGACAUCGUUUACGGCGUGGACUACCAGGGUAUCUAAUCCUGUUUGCUCCCCACGCUUUCGCACCUGAGCGUCAGUCUUUGUCCAGGGGGCCGCCUUCGCCACCGGUAUUCCUCCAGAUCUCUACGCAUUUCACNNNNNNNNNNNNNNNNNNNNCCCUCUACAAGACUCAAGCCUGCCAGUUUCGAAUGCAGUUCCCAGGUUGAGCCCGGGGAUUUCACAUCCGACUUGACAGACCGCCUGCGUGCGCUUUACGCCCAGUAAUUCCGAUUAACGCUUGCACCCUCCGUAUUACCGCGGCUGCUGGCACGGAGUUAGCCGGUGCUUCUUCUGCGGGUAACGUCAAUUGCUGCGGUUAUUAACCACAACACCUUCCUCCCCGCUGAAAGUACUUUACAACCCGAAGGCCUUCUUCAUACACGCGGCAUGGCUGCAUCAGGCUUGCGCCCAUUGUGCAAUAUUCCCCACUGCUGCCUCCCGUAGGAGUCUGGACCGUGUCUCAGUUCCAGUGUGGCUGGUCAUCCUCUCAGACCAGCUAGGGAUCGUCGCCUUGGUGAGCCGUUACCUCACCAACAAGCUAAUCCCAUCUGGGCACAUCUGAUGGCAAGAGGCCCGAAGGUCCCCCUCUUUGGUCUUGCGACGUUAUGCGGUAUUAGCCACCGUUUCCAGUAGUUAUCCCCCUCCAUCAGGCAGUUUCCCAGACAUUACUCACCCGUCCGCCACUCGUCAGCAAAGCAGCAAGCUGCUUCCUGUUACCGUUCGACUUGCAUGUGUUAGGCCUGCCGCCAGCGUUCAAUCUGAGCCAUGAUCAAACUCUUCAAUUUAAAAGUUUGAUGCUCAA
rnacentral:rRNA from 1 species